ensembl:ncRNA lncRNA:CR44927 long non-coding RNA:CR44927
GCGCUGCACAGUUCAUUAAAACUGUUGAAUAGGGCAUAAUUUUCAAAUUAAAAUUCAAAAGUUUGCCAGCCAAAUAAUGAAGCCGCUCGACAAUCUGUUGCCAAUAGUCAAAAAGUCAUAAAUUUCAAAUGCAGCACCAGCAGUCGGGGCCAGAACGUAUGGCCCAGACCCUCUGCAAAAUGUCGAAGGAGGCAAGGAAAUUUGUCGUUUGUCGACUCGGAAAAUUACUCCUGAAUUCAUCCAUGCAUUGUUGUCCAUGCGGCGGCGCUGGCGGGCGGCGGGUAUGUGGAAGUUUGGAAAUUUGGGGCGGUGUGCUGCCAAUAAUAAUAAUAAUCAUAACGGCAAAGGCAUCGACAUCGGUAACGGCAUUUUCAUCGGCAACUUCACGCCGAAAGUGCCAAAAACAUUUCAAUGAUGCUGCGACUGCGACUGGGACCACCGUGCCUCCGGCCUUUUCAUUGCUCCUUCUGCUGUGCAAUAUUUUUCGAAUUUUCAUUUGCCAUUGCGCCUCCGAAACACAGCACAGAUGUUGUUCUCCGGCGUUGGAUCGAAGAAAAUAUAGCCCCCCACCCCAUCAUCUUCCACCUUCCACACUCCUCACAACCCCUCAGCAAUCGCAAUUCAAACAGACCCCAUCCAAUUGAAAAGCGAUUUUUGUUAACCCAACCAACCCCCCCCCCCCCCCCACGUAAAUUAUGCGCCAGAAAUUGGACGUUGGAGCUUGGCUUGCUGCGACUUCUUGGGAAUCGAGAGCUUCAUAAUUAUGUGGGCCCUGGUCACCGGUAUAAUUUGUUUGUUAUGUAAGUUGGCUUAGGUAAGCGGCGGCGCAUUGUUGGCCAUUCGUCAACAGCUGCAGGGAAUUAAUUGGUUACACUCCAGCCGCCCAAUGGGCGUAAUCCGAGUUGGCCACCUCACCUGUUGGAAGACCCUUUGAAAUUGGAUAACAGCUACGAGUUACUCAUUUUCGGCCUAGCUUUGCAAAACCUUCAUAACGAGAUUGAAGCCAAGGAGCAUAUAGAUGAAAAUUGAUGACUAAAGUGAAAAAGGAUCUCGAAAACAAUACAUACAUACAUAUACGUAUAAUAUAUGGCUUGAUACGGAAAAUAAAGAAUGUG